rnacentral:rRNA from 1 species
UACAGGGGGGGCAAGCGUUGUUCGGAAUUACUGGGCGUAAAGGGCUCGUAGGCGGCCAACUAAGUCACACGUGAAAUCCCCAGGCUCAACCUGGGAACUGCGUGUGAUACUGUUUGGCUUGAGACCGGUAGAGGUAAGUGGAACUGCGAGUGUAGAGGUGAAAUUCGUAGAUAUUCGCAAGAACACCAGUGGCGAAGGCGGCUUACUGGACCGGUUCUGACGCUGAGGCGCGAAAGCGUGGGGAGCAAACAGG